rnacentral:misc_RNA from 1 species
GAUGAAGAACGUAGCGAAAUGCGAUACUUGGUGUGAAUUGCAGAAUCCCGUGAACCAUCGAGUCUUUGAACGCAUGUUGCGCCCGAAGCCAUUAGGCCGAGGGCACGCCUGCCUGGGCGUCACACGUCGUUGCCCCCCCAUCUACUCCUUCGGGAUUGCGGGGGGCGGAUGAUGGCCUCCCGUGCGCCUCGUCGCGCGGUUGGCCUAAAUGCCAAGUCCUCGGCGACGCACGCCACGACAAUCGGUGGUUGCGAAACCUCGGUUGCCCGUCGUGUGCGGUCGUCGCGCAUCGAGGGCUCGAAAAAAUUGCCGGGCUUCGGCUCGACUUUCAACGCGACCCCAGGUCAGGCGGGGUUACCCGCUGAAUUUAAGCAUAUCAAUAAGCGGAGGA